CGCCUCUUGCAUUCUAUGUAUAAGAGGUCCCGCCUGCCCUGUGACUAUAUGUUUAACGGCCGCGGUAUUUUGACCGUGCAAAGGUAGCGCAAUCACUUGUCUUUUAAAUAAAGACCUGUAUGAAUGGCAUGACGAGGGCUUAACUGUCUCCUUCUCCCGGUCAAUGAAAUUGAUCUCCCCGUGCAGAAGCGGGGAUAUUAUUAUAAGACGAGAAGACCCUGUGGAGCUUUAAAUGAUGAGAGAUUUUAUGCAACAAACCUAAAAAGGUAUAAGCGAAUUUAUACUCCCUCUAAUAUUUUUGGUUGGGGCGACCGCGGAGUAAAAAGAAACCUCCGUGAGGAAUGAGGUAAUUAACCUUAAAUCCCAGAACGACAAUUCAAAGAAGCAAAAUUUUUGACCUAAAGAUCCGGCAAAGCCGAUCAACGAACCUAGUUACCCCAGGGAUAACAGCGCAAUCCCCUUCAAGAGUCCCUAUCGACAAGGGGGUUUACGACCUCGAUGUUGGAUCAGGAUAUCCUAAUGGUGUAGCCGCUAUUAAGGGUUCGUUUGUUCAACGAUUAAAAUCCU
rnacentral:rRNA from 3 species